rnacentral:lncRNA from 1 species
AAGAAACAAGGAUUAGACCAUGAGAGCAACAGGUGCUUUUUGCAAUAUGAAGAGAAGAAUUCAGUUUGUUAGACUGCAUUUCAACACAAAGUUAAUGUGAGAUAGAAGAACUCUCCUGUGCAUAUGUAUGACUUGUUUGUUCAUUUGGAACUUCAGUGUGCCAUUUAACCCUUAAUGGGAUCUAAACUGACCGACUAAAUAAAUAAAUAAAUAAAAUUACUGCAAGGAUUUAAACUGUAACAGGAAAAAAUGCC